rnacentral:rRNA from 1 species
UACGUAGGGAGCAAGCGUUGUCCGGAAUCAUUGGGCGUAAAGCGCGCGUAGGCGGCCCUGUAAGUCCGUUGUGAAAGUCAAAGGCUCAACCUUUGAAAGCCGAUGGAUACUGCAGGGCUAGAGUCCGGAAGAGGCAAGUGGAAUUCCUGGUGUAGCGGUGGAAUGCGCAGAUAUCAGGAGGAACACCCAUAGCGAAGGCAGCUUGCUGGGACGUUACUGACGCUAAGGCGCGAAAGCGUGGGGAGCGAACAGG